rnacentral:rRNA from 1 species
UACGUAGGGUGCAAGCGUUGUCCGGAAUUAUUGGGCGUAAAGAGCUCGUAGCGGUUUGUUGCGUCGGCUGUGAAAUCCCGAGGCUCAACCUCGGGUCUGCAGUCGAUACGAGCAAACUAGAGUGUUGCAGGGGAGACUGGAAUUCCUGGUGUAGCGAUGAAAUGCGCAGAUAUCAGGAGGAACACCGGUGGCGAAGGCGGGUCUCUGGGCAACAACUGACGCUGGAGGAGCGAAAGCGUGGGGAGCGAACAGG